rnacentral:rRNA from 1 species
UACGGAGGGUGCGAGCGUUAAUCGGAAUCACUGGGCGUAAAGCGCGCGUAGGCGGCUUUUCAAGUCAGGGGUGAAAUCCCACGGCCCAACCGUGGAACUGCCUUUGAAACUGUAGAGCUUGAGUGUCGGAGAGGGUGGCGGAAUUCCAGGUGUAGGAGUGAAAUCCGUAGAUAUCUGGAGGAACACCGGUGGCGAAGGCGGCCACCUGGACGACAACUGACGCUGAGGUGCGAAAGCGUGAGUAGCAAACAGG